rnacentral:lncRNA from 1 species
UCCAGUCUAACGCGACCGGCGGCGGCGGCGGCGGGGCGCAGCGGUCGAGGUUCUUCCGCCCUUCCGUUCCCUCUCCGAUGGCCCCUCCGAUGCGCAGCAGGUCCUCUGGUUGAACUUGUCCAUAGCAUCAUCCAUCCUACCCUACCCUUCAACGGCGGUUGCCGACGCCCCACGGCGGGUAGGAUGGCUGGUGCUAUGGGUAGCUUCACCCCGAUGGUUGUGAGUGACGUACCUCGUCCGUAGGAAUAAGCCUCUUUUAUCGUCGCCGCUGCGGAAAUCAAGGCGCGCAGAAGUAGGGAGCCAAUCCUCUGGUUGAAUUUGUCCAUAGCAUCAGCCAGUCCUCUGCUUUUUUUGCACGAUGGGUACUACGAUGGCUGGUGCUAUGGAUAAAUUCAACCCGAUGGUUGUGACAUACCCGAUCUGAAGAGGAAACUUUGCUCAACUUUGAAUGAGCCCGCAAUCAGGUUGAAGCAGGGACGGAUGGUUGUUGCCAUGGACGAAUUCCACCGGAUGACACAUAUUCGACUACCACUUUAAACAGUUUCCUUUAGUUGCCUGAUGAUUCAUGGUUGUUGUAUUCAUGCUGACUCUGGUUUUAAUCUGCCUUACUUUAACUGAAUAUUCUAUUAUCUGGAAAAAGAUAGUGAAAAUCUAGAUCUAAUUAACCCUGCCUUGUUUUUGCAGUUCUGAGAUGCAUGCAUGUUUCUAAGGACCAAGAUCUGGAAAUUGCUAAGGAAUGAGUAAUCUAACUGUUUUCAUGCGAUUCAAGACCUCGCUGGUGUUUGUUUAAGUUAUACAGUUUCCUACAUAUAUUGGUUGUCUUCCAGGUUCAGUUUGCUGUGGCGAAUUCUGCUUGAAUUUGUUGCAGCAAACUUGUGGUCAUGUAUAUUUUCUUUAGUUUUGUAUUCAUGCCUAGAAGGUUAGAAAGCUUGUUCAUGUAUUGUUCUGAACUAAAAGUUGAAGUGGCUUUUCCACCCAUGUUAUUGUGGUGGUCAUAAUAGCGCGCCUCACAAUUAUUGAGGGCCAGAUCUACAAAUAUUGUUUCUAAAUACAAACGCCCACUCUGUUUCCCCUGGGUAUUAAUCUAUGCACAAAUUGCUCUUCCGUGCUUGAUGACAAAUAAAGGUUGCAUCUUGGAUGUUUGCUUGAUUUGCAUGAGCCAUUUUGCUAUCAGCUAAACCGUUAAAAGUCAGAUGUAAGAUAUGUUUCUUGGCACAUGUGGUAUUUUUCCGUCAGCGCACCAUUGAAGUCUGAAGAUGCACUGUUUUCUUUGAAACUGAAGCACCGUGGUUGAAUUUUAGUUUCAUUUGGACAAGUUACCCCAAGUAUCAUCAAUUCAUGAUGACUAGUUUGGUGUGGUGAAUUGGUCUUGGUCCUGAUUUAAGAGUUUUUUAAUGCUACUGUGUUGUAAGGGAGAAAUGUUAGGUAUCUAUAUGGCUAUUGUUUUAGCUCUUG